rnacentral:rRNA from 1 species
AUUGAACGCUGGCGGAAUGCUUUACACAUGCAAGUCGAACGGCAGCACGGACUUCGGUCUGGUGGCGAGUGGCGAACGGGUGAGCAAUGUAUCGGAACGUGCCCAGUCGUGGGGGAUAACGUAGUGAAAAUUACGCUAAUACCGCAUACGAUCUAUGGAUGAAAGCGGGGGAUCGCAAGACCUCGCGCGAUUGGAGCGGCCGAUAUCAGAUUAGGUAGUUGGUGGGGUAAAGGCCCACCAAGCCAACGAUCUGUAGCUGGUCUGAGAGGACGACCAGCCACACUGGGACUGAGACACGGUCCAGACUCCUACGGGAGGCAGCAGUGGGGAAUUUUGGACAAUGGGCGAAAGCCUGAUCCAGCCAUUCCGCGCGCAGGAUGAAGGCCCUCGGGUUGUAAACUGCUUUUGUACAGAACGAAAAGGUUUCUACUAAUACUAGGAGCUCAUGACGGUACUGUAAGAAUAAGCACCGGCUAACUACGUGCCAGCCGCCGCGGUAA